GUGGGGAAUCUUGCACAAUGGGGGAAACCCUGAUGCAGCGACGCCGCGUGAGCGAUGAAGCCCUUCGGGGUGUAAAGCUCUUUCGACGGGAACGAUAAUGACGGUACCCGAAGAAGAAGCUGCGGCUAACUACGUGCCAGCAGCCGCGGUAAUACGUAGGCAGCGAGCGUUGUUCGGAAUUACUGGGCGUAAAGAGUGUGUAGGCGGUGCUGUAAGUCUGGUGUGAAAUCUCCCGGCUCAACUGGGAGGGUGCGCUAGAAACUGCAGUGCUUGAGUGUGGGAGAGGUAAGCGGAAUUCCUGGUGUAGCGGUGAAAUGCGUAGAUAUCAGGAGGAACACCUGUGGUGUAGACAGCUUACUGGACCACGACUGACGCUGAGACACGAAAGCGUGGGUAGCAAACAGGAUUAGAUACCCUGGUAGUCC
rnacentral:rRNA from 1 species